GCUCCAACACAGGCAUGGUUCUAGUUCUGGACCCCCUGGUGAGAAAAGAGGUCUCCGGCCCUCUGCUGAACCACCCAAAGAUCUGGGACCCUGUGACAUCAUCAGAGGUGGAUGUGGUCCUGUCCCACCGCCAGUGCUCUGACUCGACAUCCUCGGACCACACCCUGGCUUCCAGGCCACGUCUCGACUCAGGAGCCUCAGAGAAGAGCCUUGGUCUGGGCUCAGCCUUCAGAACCAGGAUGGACUCAGGAGCGUCAGAAAAUAGCCUGGGUCUGGGCUCAGCCUUCAGGACAAGGGUGGACUCAGGAGCCUCAGAAAAGAGCCUUGGUCUGGGCUCAGCCUUCAGAACCAGGGUGGACUCAGGAGCGUCAGAAAAGAGCCUGGGUCUGGGCUCAGCCUUCAGGACCAGGGUGGACUCAGGAGCGUCAGAAAAGAGCCUGGGUCUGGGCUCAGCCUUCAGGACCAGGGUGGACUCAGGAUCGUCAGACAGAAGCCAGUGUUCAGUCCACAGAGGCAGACUGGACUCUGGGGCCUCCGAGUCCCGCUUCAGACCGAGACUAGACUCUGGCACAUCAGACUCCAGCACGGGACCGCCAGCCCCUCUAGGCUCUGAGACCUCUGACAGUGCAGGGCUGCUGUCACGGAAACGACUGGACUCUGGGACUUCUGACCUGAGCGUGGGUGUCUCUUCUGUUGAGCGGGGCCGUGUGGAAGAGCCAGAGGUGACCAUGAGUAGCUCCUCCUCCAGCACAGAUUCAGAGGCUGAGAGCACCAACCACCAUUCAGCCCAACCCCGCCAAGACCGCUCCACUACCAACUGUGAUCAGCCUGAUGGGGCCGUCCCAUCCAGGAAAGCCUCAGACUCCCACAGUACCUUGCUCAAUGGCAGUUCCAAGGGAAAAGGAGACAUCCAGGAACAGAAGGUCAGAGAUACUUUAUUCACUACUCUCAGCAAAGCAAGCGAUGCAGUGCCUGAAAAGAAGCCGGUUGUCUUGGCCCCGUUUGGCCGGGCUAACUCUGUGCGGGACCGUAUGCGUAAGUUCACAGAGCCCAGCCCAAGCCCCAGUGUCCCAUUCCUGAAGAGGGGCUCUCAGUCUCUAAGGAAUGGGACAGCCCCCAGUGCCCGAGUCCUAGGCAGAGCCACCGAGCUGAGUGAGGGACGAGCAGCAGGGCCAGUCAACCAAACAGCAAUGACCACAGCAGUAUCCAUCAGAUCCCUUACAGACAGGCACGGGAGACCCCAUGUAGGUUCUACAUCGUACUCUUCAUCUUCCUCCUCCUCAGAGAACCUUGUCCAAUGUCAGGGCACAAUUCAGCCAGGGGGCGUGGCCACCAAAGAUCUGCAAACCGCUGCUCAAUCCAUGAGCACUGUAGGCGGGGCGAAGCAGCCGGCUAAAAAGCUGCAGCACUCCUCGGGCAUCUCAAAGGAAGACAAGACCCCAGGGAACCAGGGAGAGGCAGACCCCGACAUGAAGACCUUCCUAACUAUCGAGAUCAAAGAUGGACGCACCAUCACCUCCUCCUCCUCCUGCUCCUCCUCCUCUUCCUCUAGAGGCAACCUGGCCUCCAUGACCCCCAUGGCCCAACGCAUCACCACCAACUCCCUGGGACAGAGAGCAGGUAGGAGCACUGCCUAAUGGAUGCUAGAUAGACUUCUGGUUCCAGAUUCUUUAUAUGUACAGACCAUAGCUUUUGAUAGAUUUGUGUUAAAUCCAAAAACAGAAGUUGAUAUUUGAAAUGAUGCGUUACCAGUGGUACCAGGCAGACUGGUGCCUUGAGCCUACAUCAGUCAUAGACUUGCCUUUAAAUCUUUUUCUCCCUUUUAAAUCUUAGAAUAGAUCAGAAAUCAUUAACAGUGGAGCCAUUUUUCAUCCCUUCAGCCCAGUGUACUGCAGCAGAUCAUAGGCUCUGUGUCUGUUUGUGGAGACAGAUUGUGUAGAUACUGGAUGUUUCCUGUUCUGUCCCAGCUCCACCUCUGCAUGCUAAUAUCAGCCUUGAGAUCAGGGACAGGGGUCAGUCCAUAGAAAUAGAAUGUAUUUGUAUGGGUAAGUCAGCAGGGCUGAACCCCAGGCUGGGGACAGACCAGGGCCAGGGUUAGGGCCAGGGAGUGUGUGUGUGUGUGGGAGCAGGGUUCUGCUGUGGACGAGCAGCAUUGUCUCUAUGAUGGGCAGGCAUGCCGUGUGGAGGUGGAGGGGGUUGGAGGGUGGUAUGGGAUCAAGGACACACAACAAUGGGCAGUUAUUGAGUAAACUGUAUGGUCUAACAGCACAAUACACUGUAGUCUUUCUGUUGCAUUCCUGCAGAGUUGGCGACAUCCACAACAGACUAUGGUCUGUAUACCACUCUGUAAAUGCCAUACAAACACUCACACUGUACUCUAGUACUUGGGCAUACAUUGUCAACACAAAUGUUGAAAACAGGUGUUAUCGCUAAGCGUAACUUUAUCCUACUCCUGAGGGGUAUCCUACGAAGCAGGUUUUGAGGAGUUGGCAAGGUAACGUUAGUCAACUCUCAGUUCAACUUGGGAUAACCAGUCAUAUGAAAGUGGCUCACCUUUUAGCCAGGUAAAGUUCUAUGGCAAGAAAUCCUUCAGAACUAACCUGCUUCGGGGCAGGCUAACUCGCGGCUAACUUCACUUACCCUGAAUGAAAUGACUGAGCCGAGAGUUGAGGACCAAUGAAAUCAGAUUCUGACAAUUGAUUAAAUAUUUUAUAAAUAAAAUGUUUAGUUUUUUAUAUAUAUAUCACUUUACACAUUUAGUAAACUUCAUACAAUGUAACACUUAAAAAUAUAUAUUGAUAGGAGUGGGGGAAAAGGUGCUUGUGCAUUGAUAAGCACACCAAAGACUGUAUUAACGAUAAUAAUAAGUAAUACAAUGAAGACUGUAUUAACAAUAAUAAUAAGUUAUAAAAUAAAGACUGUAUUAACGAUAAUAAUAAGUAACACAAAAUAGACUGUAUUAACGAUAAUAGUAAGUAAUACAAUAAAGAC
rnacentral:lncRNA from 13 species